UCCCGCGUAGCUCAACGGCAGAGCAUCCGACUGUUAAUCGGACGGUUCCAGGUUCGAAUCCCGGCGCGGGAGCCC
rnacentral:tRNA from 1 species